GUGCCAGCCGCCGCGGUAAUACGUAGGUGGCAAGCGUUAUCCGGAAUUAUUGGGCGUAAAGCGCGCGUAGGCGGUUUUUUAAGUCUGAUGUGAAAGCCCACGGCUCAACCGUGGAGGGUCAUUGGAAACUGGAAAACUUGAGUGCAGAAGAGGAAAGUGGAAUUCCAUGUGUAGCGGCGAAAUGCGCAGAGAUAUGGAGGAACACCAGUGGCGAAGGCGACUUUCUGGUCUGUAACUGACGCUGAUGUGCGAAAGCGUGGGGAUCAAACAG
rnacentral:rRNA from 1 species